rnacentral:rRNA from 1 species
UACCAGCACCCCGAGUGGUCGGGACGAUUAUUGGGCCUAAAGCAUCCGUAGCCGGUUCUACAAGUCUUCCGUUAAAUCCACCUGCUUAACAGAUGGGCUGCGGAGGAUACUAUAAGACUAGGAGGCAGGAGAGGCAAGCGGUACUCAGUGGGUAGGGGUAAAAUCCGUUGAUCCAUUGAAGACCACCAGUGGCGAAGGCGGCUUGCCAGAAUGCGCUCGACGGUGAGGGAUGAAAGCUGGGGGGAGCAAACCGG